AGCCAUGUGGUGAGCACAAAGCGAACUAUUCUUUCGCCUUUUACUAAAGAAUACCGUGUGCUCUCCACGCUAAGUGGCAUACGCCUAUUUUUGGAGGGUUCUCACUUUUCAGUGAGU
rnacentral:snRNA from 1 species